rnacentral:lncRNA from 1 species
ACUGAUAGUUUUGUAUCAUCAAAAAUUCUUUUGUUCCUGGAACACCACAGUGCUUAUUUUGGCUUGUAAACCUUUAUAAAGACGUGUUAUUAGGCGACUAGUUGGUGCCAACUUUAUUAAAAACAGCUACUUUAUUUUGCUAAGGCACUUCCCUUGACUAAGGUGCAGGGUUACAGUAACCUGCUUGAUUUUGGUACACUUCUCCUUCCAAAGGAGAGACAUGGAAAGUUUUGAGAUGGUAGAACUCUUCGUCUUUCAGAGUCUGCUUUCAAAAGACAUACUGUCUUCCUUCUUAUUUUACUUUGCCGUUGACACCAGAAAUGCAAGUGUUAAGUCAUGGAAGCUUCAGUAUUGGCAGUAAAUGUAGAGGGUUGAGAAUUAUAGGAGCUGCUUGUGUUUCCUUUAUUUAAUAACAAUUAAGAUCUUUGUGUAAAGGAGGCAGUGUAUGCACAUGAAAACCUGUGUGUAUGCAUGUUCAAUUGGAGGCCACAGCAAGAUGUCUUCUUCUGUCAGUGCCUACCUUAAUGCCUUGAGGUAGGGUCUCUCGCUGGAUGCUUGCCAUUUCUGCUAGGCUGGCUGGCCAGCUGAUCCACCUUUUUCCACUUCCUAUGUUGGAUUUGCAUGCAUGUGCAGCAACGUCAUAGAUGGUAUUUUUAUGUGGAUAAUGGGGUUUGGAACAUGGGUCCUCAGGCUUGCAGAAGAAACAGUCUAUCCACUGAGCCAUCUCCUCGGCCCCCUGAGUAGGGUCUUAAUACUUUAAAUGUGGACAUAGUAAUUUGUUAGUUUGGGUGUUUGGGUGACAGUAGUGGUUCGUUGAUUUUUUUUUUUUUUUUUUUUUUUGCUGUGUGUGUGUGUGUGUGUGUGUGUGUGUGUGUGUGUACAGGCUUGGAGGCUAGAAGUCAGUGGCAGGCAUCAUUACUCAAGAGUCAUUCAUGUUGGUUGUUGAGACAAGCAGUAUCUCUGAUUCCCCAGCACUGGGAUUGUAAGUGUGCACCUCCAUACUUGGCUUGUUCAUUCCGGGUUCGAACACCGGUCCUCAUGCUUUCCUGGCAACACUCUCCCAGCUGAGCUCUCCCCUGCCCCCGAGUGUUCAGUUUCCUUUACCAUUUAACCUCCAUCACUUUUACACUGUCCUCCACUUCCUGAUAUGCCUCUCUUUGCCUCUUUGUUUCAAAAUCCAGGGAAGGAAAGAAACAUCAGCUAGUUUGGUGCCUGUGCCUAUGUUCAUCCCCCUGAAACUCACUUGAGACCUUCUUCAGUCUCUGUUCUUUCUUUACUAGAUCUUUAUUUGAGCUUUGAAUGCCUACAGUCCCACAGUUCCUUCUCUUCCUUCUGGACUCCCUCCCUUUAUAGCCGGUCUGCACAGAUUGCCCUGUGCUCCUCCAUUUCCUUUGGUUAUGCUGCCAUUU